rnacentral:rRNA from 1 species
AUUGAACGCUGGCGGCAUGCUUUACACAUGCAAGUCGAACGGCAGCGGGGGCUUCGGCCUGCCGGCGAGUGGCGAACGGGUGAGUAAUGCAUCGGAACGUACCCAGUCGUGGGGGAUAACUACGCGAAAGCGUAGCUAAUACCGCAUACGCCCUGAGGGGGAAAGCGGGGGAUCGCAAGACCUCGCGUGAUUGGAGCGGCCGAUGUCGGAUUAGCUAGUUGGUGGGGUAAAGGCCUGCCAAGGCGACGAUCCGUAGCGGGUCUGAGAGGAUGAUCCGCCACACUGGGACUGAGACACGGCCCAGACUCCUACGGGAGGCAGCAGUGGGGAAUUUUGGACAAUGGGCGCAAGCCUGAUCCAGCCAUGCCGCGUGCAGGAUGAAGGCCUC